AUACUUACCUUAAGAUGUCAGAGGAGAUCAAGAAGUCCUUCUGACCAGGCAUCGUUUUUUUCCAAUUUAGAGGGAAGUUAUGCAUUUCCUGCAUUGGAAGUUCUCUGAUCUUUUGGGAUAAGAAAACUUCUUUUUGCUCCAAUUGAUGUAAACUCCCUGGUCACUUGCACAUACUUGCGGAAAAGGUGUCUGCUGACGUUUCGUUCCCCAAUUCCAAUAAGUGGGUUAAUUUCUUUGUUUUUUCUUAAUUGCAAAAGCUUGGAUUUUUAUCUACUUUUGGAGUCCUGUGUUCAUUCUGCCUGGAGAAUUAUGGCACCAGGUAUUAUAACUGGUGCUUGGGGAGCUGGUUACUGUAUGGUAUUCAGAUUCGAGGGCAUUUUGUCCUAAUUGGGAUUCCAGUUUAAGUAAUCAUAGUUGCUUUGAGGAAGCCAAGGUGUUAUGACUGGUUCUUCUUAACAUUGGGUGAUGACUAUUGCUCUUUUGAGUAGUAUGAAAUUAUCUGAAGUGGAGGUUCUGGUAAUAGCAUAAAGAUGCUGAUAGUCCUUAUUACCCAAUAUUCUCAUGGAGGCCACUGAUUCUAGGUUUUCAAUCUAUGAAGGUUGAGUGGUUGUGAGAUAGUGGGUUUGGUCUGCCACUCUUGAACUUGGAUGCCUCUUUUCAGCACUAUGGCACCUUUACUAGAUGACAUGGAAUGGGAUUUAUCUCUUUUCAUGGAGUUUGGUAUGGGUAAGUUACUUCUGUGAAUUUCUGAGUCUUCUUGGCUUUUUUUAGGAAGAGCUGAGAGCUAUACAGGUAUUGGUAGAAACGGGUGGGUCUUAUAAUUUUUGAUUCUCUUU